rnacentral:lncRNA from 1 species
UUUUAAGGUAGGCCUUGAAAUACAUCCACAGGUACACCUCCAAUUGACUCAAAUGAUGUCAAUUAGCCUAUCAGAAGCUUCUAAGCCAUGACAUCAUUUUCUGGAAUUUUCCAGCACAGUCAACUUAGGGUAUGUAAACUUCUGACCCACUGGAAUUGUGAUACAGGGAAUUAUAAGUGAAAUAAUUGUUGGAAAAAUGACUUGUGUCUUCACAAGUAACUGUCCUAACCGACUUGCCAAAACUAUAGUUUGUUAACAAGAAAUUUGUGGAGUGGUUGAAAAUGAGUUUUAAUGACUCCAACCUAAGUGUAUUGUAAACUUCUGACUUCAACUGUAUUAAUAUAUAUAUAUAUAUAUAUAUUUGUAGAAGACAUAUUUCACUAAAUAUAUUUACAAGUUCAAAUUGCAUAGUUCAAAAUGUAGGUUUAAAAGUAUUUAAAAGGUGAAAGUGACCAAAAGUGUUUUGUUUGACCAUCUACAUUGUUUUAGAAAUUUGAGGGAAAAAUACCUGAUUAGACUUCAGUGCACUUUUGAAAGUUGUACAAAUCACACAUUUAUUUACUACACAUUAAAUAUGCUUAAAAUUAUAACUUAAACUUAAAGGUUGGUUAUGAGGUCAUAUCUUAUAAUAAUUUAGAUAUUUGUCCUGAUGAAUAAAUAUUAAAUAUUUCUUAUUAUGAAAACAAACAAAAACUAAAUUUGUGAUGACAACACUGAUGAUGUUUGUAAUGAAGUAGUAACUUUCUCUUCAGUUAUGAGAUGAUUCUAUUCAGUUAUGAGACGAUCUCUUCAGUUAUGAGCUAUUCUAUUCAGUUUAUGAGACGAUUCUAUUCAGUUAUGAGACGACUCUCUUCAGUUAUGAGACGACUCUCUUCAGUUAUGAGACGAUCUCUUAG